UCUGUGCAAAGCCUCCGGUGUGGGUCUGAGUGCAGACGUGGGGGUGGGAGGAGGAUGGGCAGCUCGGAAAGCAUUGCACGGCAGCAGAGCCACGGGAGCUGUGUUAAUUCAAAGCAGAACAGAGUCUGGGGUGCUCAGAACUCGUGGAGAAGUGGAUCUGUGGCUCAGUGAUGGGCUCUAACUCAGUUAGCUCUGAUGCUGGUGUGCGGACUUAACCUCAUUUUAAAGCUCUUCCCAGCAGAUGCUCUGCUGUGCAGCAUGGGUGGUGCUCGCUCUGCUCCCCAGUUUGCCCAGCGCUGAGUGUGGGAUGUGGCACAGUGUCCUGGGGGUGAAAUGAGCACUGAGGUCAUGAAGACAGCUGCACACCCGAGAUCCCUACAAGAGGAUUUGCUUUGUCUCCAUUGUAAUGCCCUUAUGGCAUCCAUGGCAUGGAUAGGGCCAUGAAUCGACCUCUGCACUGCAUUCCAUUGCAUUGCUUUGCACUGGGUUGGGGUUGCACUGCAUUCUGUUGCAUUGCUUUGCACUGGGUUAGCAUUGGGGUUGCACUGCAGUCUGUUGCAUUGCUUUGCACUGGGUUAAGGUCAGGGUUGCACUGCAGCCUGUUGCAUUGCUUUGCACGGGGUUAGCGUUGGGAUUGCACUGCAGUCUGUUACAUUGCUUUGCACUGGGUUAAGGUCAGGGUUGGUGUUGCACUGCAUUCUGUUGCAUUGCUUUGCACUGGGUUAGGAUUGCAUUGCAGCCUGUUGCAUUGCUUUGCACUGGGUUAGGGCUGGAGUUUUGUUCUACUGCACUGCUUUGGGUUGCACUGAAUUGCAUUGCAUUGUAUUGCACAGGAGCUGCGGGAGCUGACUUUGGGGCAGAGAGCUGAGCCUCCUCCUUAGCAGUGAACCCACACCUCUGCCCAUGCACAAAGCUGAGGCAGCCACAGGUUUUAAUCAUAAUUAACCACUGGAUGCCAUUAUUCAGCCAUCAGGUAGCAGCCCUGCCAAAGGGCACGGAAUGAAGGCCUGGGCAUUUCUCCCUCCCUUACAAUGCUCACAGCCUUCCUGUGGGCACAGACCCCCCUGGGGGUCCCCUCAGCCCCUUCCCUUUCCCUCAGUGCUGCAGUUCCCACCACUGCCCGCCCCAAUGCUGGGAUGCAUCCCUCAAUCCCAGUGCUCCCAUCAGCCCAACCCCUCAUUAAGCUGCUCACCCCCUCUGCAGUAAUUACUCCUAUUUAUAACUAACCUCACAGAGCCCCUGCCUGCCCCCCCCACCCCCCCUCCCCUUCCUCCCCUGCUGCUCUCGCUGACACAGAGCUAUUUUUACCCCUUUCCUCCCAGAGAUGCUCCUCUCCCACUUCCAGGCAUGGGAUUUCAAGCAGCUCCAUUGUCACCAUCACCCCCAGGGCCACCGUCACGGCCCCGCUGUGUCCCCAUGGAUGGGGCAAUGGGUGCAGGGGGGGGGGUUGGGGAGACCUGCACAGAUGUGUUCCUAACGAUGGGAGGAAAUAGACCCGCCCUCUGUUUUGCCACCCGCAGCUUUGGAUGGGAUCGCUCCGUUGCAAAGGGGAAGCGCUGCUCUGAGCUCUGCCUUAAUGCCUCUCUGUGCCAUUCCAGUGUGAGUUCAGCUCUGCUGCUCCCCAUGUCUGCAAUGUCUGCAGGGUCUUCCGUGCAUGCCGUGCUCCAAGCAUCAGAGUCACUGGGCAACGCCGUGCAGCAGCAGGGCGGGCUCUGCAAAGGGAAUUGCAUCUGAACAGCGUUGCAUCUGAAUAGCGCUGCACCUGCAGAGUGUUGCAUCUGAACAGCAUUGCAUCUGAACAGCACGGUACCUGCACAGUAUUGCAUCUGCACAGUGUUACAUCCAAACAGCGUUGCACCUGAGCAACACAGUGCCUGCACAGUGUUUGCAUCUGAACAGCACAGUAUCUGCACAGCGUUGCAUCUGAAUAGCAUUGCACCUGCACAGUGUUGCAUCUGAACAGCAUUGCACCUGCUCAGCAUUGCAUCUGAACAACACAGUACCUACACAGCGUUGCAUCUGAACAGAACAGCACCUGCAUAUCAUUGCAUCUGAACAGCAUUGCGACUGCGUGGCACUGCAUCUGAAUAGCACUGCGCCUGCACUGCUUUGCACCUGCACGGUGUUGCACCUGCACUGCUUUGCACCUGCACAGUAAUGGCAUUGCACUUGCACAGAAGGAGAGGGAGAGAAAGCAGCCCUGGGAUCGGGACCUGCUGCUCACAGGGCCCCGCAGGGCUGUGCCCUCACUGUUUGCCCACAUCCCACCGAAAUCCCACGGGAUCGAUGGGGGUCGGCCGGGUGCACCGCCCCGAGGCCAUGGGAUCGAUGAGGAGUGAAGGAAAUGCGGCCGAAGAUGCGCGGUUUUACAGCUUCCUCCCCAAGAACGGCCGUGCUUUAUGGACUGCUGGUAAUUGCCAAUUAAUUGCGCUGCAGCCGAGGGCAGGAAAGCAGCCCGCAUCCUCCAUACGGGGUGGGCAGGAUAUCAGAGUCCGAAGGUGUUACCACUCCUCCACUUAAUGAAGAAAAAUCACGAUGGAGGCGGCCGGAGGCAACGCAAUGGGAUUGCAGCGGGGAGGAGAGGACUGUGUUAACACCCAUUAAUAAUAAAUAACCGCCAUAAUGAGCUCUAAUUAAUUUGGUCACACGUUAGAGAUCGCUUCCUUCUUUUUUAAGCUUGUAGGUUUUUCUGUGCCGGAGCAUCCCUGCGCCCUGGCUGUUCCCAGCCCCUUCCAUUCAACGUGUGAUAGAUGGAUUGAUACGCAGCUUUAAUCAGU
rnacentral:lncRNA from 1 species